rnacentral:rRNA from 1 species
AGAGUUUGAUUCUGGCUCAGAACGAACGCUGGCGGCGUGGAUAAGACAUGCAAGUCGAACGAGAGAAUUGCUAGCUUGCUAAUAAUUCUCUAGUGGCGCACGGGUGAGUAACACGUGAGUAACCUGCCCCCAAGAGUGGGAUAGCCCCGGGAAACUGGGAUUAAUACCGCAUAAAAUCGCAAGAUUAAAGCAGCAAUGCGCUUGGGGAUGGGCUCGCGUCCUAUUAGUUAGUUGGUGAGGUAACGGCUCACCAAGGCGAUGACGGGUAGCCGGUCUGAGAGGAUGUCCGGCCACACUGGAACUGAGACACGGUCCAGACACCUACGGGUGGCAGCAGUCGAGAAUCAUUCACAAUGGGGGAAACCCUGAUGGUGCGACGCCGCGUGGGGGAAUGAAGGUCUUCGGAUUGUAAACCCCUGUCAUGUGGGAGCAAAUUAAAAAGAUAGUACCACAAGAGGAAGAGACGGCUAACUCUGUGCCAGCAGCCGCGGUAAUACAGAGGUCUCAAGCGUUGUUCGGAAUCACUGGGCGUAAAGCGUGCGUAGGCGGUUUCGUAAGUCGUGUGUGAAAGGCGGGGGCUCAACCCCCGGACUGCACAUGAUACUGCGAGACUAGAGUAAUGGAGGGGGAACCGGAAUUCUCGGUGUAGCAGUGAAAUGCGUAGAUAUCGAGAGGAACACUCGUGGCGAAGGCGGGUUCCUGGACAUUAACUGACGCUGAGGCACGAAGGCCAGGGGAGCGAAAGGGAUUAGAUACCCCUGUAGUCCUGGCAGUAAACGGUGCACGCUUGGUGUGCGGGGAAUCGACCCCCUGCGUGCCGGAGCUAACGCGUUAAGCGUGCCGCCUGGGGAGUACGGUCGCAAGAUUAAAACUCAAAGAAAUUGACGGGGACCCGCACCUGUCUCUUAUACACAUCUCCGAGCCCAC